rnacentral:misc_RNA from 1 species
CUUAUCAUUUAGAGGAAGGAGAAGUCGUAACAAGGUUUCCGUAGGUGAACCUGCGGAAGGAUCAUUGUUGUAACCUGCAACAGCAGAACGACCAGCGAACUUGUGAAAAUAGAUUGUGGUGCCCAGCGCGCCUCAACGCCCGGACGCGCUCGUAAUGGGUGCGAUCUCGGCACAACAACGAACCCCGGCACGAGCUGUGCCAAGGAAAAUUGAUGAAGACAGAGUCCCUUGCUGCCUCGUUCUGCGGGUGCGUGCUCGGGACAAAGCUUCUUUCACAUAACACGACUCUCGGCAACGGAUAUCUCGGCUCUCGCAUCGAUGAAGAACGUAGCGAAAUGCGAUACUUGGUGUGAAUUGCAGAAUCCCGUGAACCAUCGAGUCUUUGAACGCAAGUUGCGCUUGAAGCCAUUAGGCUGAAGGCACGUCUGCCUGGGCGUCUCGCAACGCUUCGCCCCCAACCCUCCGUCUCUCUUUGGGCGUUGGACGUUGGGGGCAGAUGGUGGCCUCCUGUGCGCGAAAUGCAUGCAGUUGGCCUAAAAGCAAAGUUCCUGACAAUGGAUCGUCACGGCACGUGGUGGUCGAACAACCUCGUCGCGUUUUGUCGUCGGCGCACCUAUUGUCGGGCGAAGCUCUGACCCUUGCGCGUCGUCCACGACGGCGCAUCGACAGCGACCCCAGGUCAGGCGGGACUACCCGCUGAGUUUAAGCAUAUCAAUAA